AGUGAAUCUAUGCUCCACAUUUUGAUGUGAGGCUGUGGCUGUGCAGUAGAUAGUUUGGUUUGAUACCGUCACACUAGCUAACGUCAGCUACGCCACACAUGUUCAGGUCAGGCAGUGUGAGGAAAAAAGCCCGGUCAGUUAUCCAGCACUGUGGAAAAAGUUGUUAGUGGCUAGCGAGGCUAUUUCCAGUUGGACGUGGAGAAGUUUAGUUUUCUUGCAUCUAGCUCUCUGUAGAGCAGAAAUUAAUAUAAGUGAAUUUAAGCCCAUUUCACGUAUCUAUUAACGGCUUGUAACCACGGUGUUUGUCUUUUCAACAAGGCUUUUUUCUUUUUUUCCCCUUUGAUUUGCAUUGGUUGUCCUGGUUCUUUGUAGUUUUUGGCAAUGUUAGUCUUAUUACGUGUCAUUAUGACACAUAAUGUUCUGACUGAUGAAUCUCUAAAUCAGUGAGACCAGUGAACUGACAACUAUGCACCAUGCAGAAUCUUUGCUGCAACAGUUGUAUGAUACAGUUAUCUUAUUUUACAGCCAUGUGCCACUGCCGCUGAUGUCCAAAGGACAGAGAUUCUGCCAAGCACCCCCUGCUUGAUUGUACAAGGUGACCUGAUGAAGCCAAGGUCGUGGAUGCUGUCCAUUGAAAAAAACAGCUUCUACAAUCUCAAUCUCCAGUACCCUGAGGACAGUUCGUGCACUUUGGAGUUUAUUCAAAGAUGCUUCUUGGGCAUCAACCCAGAAACGGGCUCGAAGGCAAAGAGGAAGCGUGGCAACAUCAACCCACAUGUGAGCACGUUCAGCAGGAAAAUUUUGGACUUUGAGUGGCAGGCAAAUUAGAAGGAGCUUGAGAAAACUUUGAGAACCCCAUUUAAAGGUUUAUUUUGGUUUAAAGGAUUUAAAAAGGUUUUAUAAUGGUUUAUUUUGUUCUAUAUAAUUCAGUAAAAUGUACAUAUUCUGUUCAGAUGUUAUAAUACUGACUUGACAAAAAAGGCAUGUCAUGCACUUAACAGUUAAAUUAAAAAGUGAAAGCGAAUUA